CGCGCCGUCACUGGGGAGUAGCCGCCUCCGCACAGGAGGAGCCGACGUCAACAGACUUGGUCCACGGACCAUGGCGUCGGCGGCAGUAGCUGGGCGAGACCUUUGACUCUACGAUCCAAAGCCGGGGCCGGCGAUGGGUGGUCGAGUCAUUGGUUCCUUCUCGCCGG
rnacentral:sRNA from 2 species